rnacentral:rRNA from 1 species
UACGGAGGGGGCUAGCGUUGUUCGGAAUUACUGGGCGUAAAGCGCACGUAGGCGGUUAUUUCAGUCAGAGGUGAAAGCCCGGAGCUCAACUCCGGCACUGCCUUUGAGACUGGAUAACUAGAAUCUUGGAGAGGCGAGUGGAAUUCCGAGUGUAGAGGUGAAAGUCGUAGAUAUUCGGAAGAACACCAGUGGCGAAGGCGGCUCGCUGGACAAGUAUUGACGCUGAGGUGCGAAAGCGUGGGGAGCAAACAGG